rnacentral:rRNA from 1 species
AGAAUCAACGCUGGCGGCGUGCCUAACACAUGCAAGUCGAACGCGAAAGCCCCGCAAGGGGUAAGUAGAGUGGCAAACGGGUGAGUAACACGUGGGUGACCUGCCUUCGAGUGGGGGAUAACGUCCCGAAAGGGACGCUAAUACCGCAUGACAUCCUGCUUUUGGAAAAGCGGAGAUCAAAGCUGGGGAUCGUAAGACCUGGCGCUUGAAGAGGGGCCCGCGCCUGAUUAGCUAGUUGGUGGGGUAACGGCCUACCAAGGCGACGAUCAGUAUCC